rnacentral:lncRNA from 1 species
GCUGCCGGCACACGCAGCCAUCAGCGGAUGCAGGCGCCGCGCGCGCUCCCCGCGCCUGGGGCUGCCGGCGCUGCGCCCUGCCGACGGUUUGGCGCGGGGUCCGCGGCGCCUCCCGGCCCCAUCCAGCCCGGGCUCCGGGGGCAGGAGCCGGGCGAGAGCAGCGGUGGCAGCAGGGGCCGGGGCCGGGGCUGGGGCCGGGCGCGAUGCCUCCCCUCUGCCGCAGGCUCUGCCGAGGAGCCCGACUUCGCCUGCUUCAAGCAAUGCGGCUCGCGCAGCUUCCUCUGCCGCUGGCCACCCUGGGGCCCCGACGGCAACACCACCUACGUCCUCACGCUCUGGUGAGCCGGGGGCCCGCGUGCCGCUGGGAGCACCGGGAGCGCCUGGGAGCACGGGGACGCGGAGGGCACCACAUCCCGCUGGGAGUGCUGGGGAGUCCAUGGGUAUGGGGAUGUGGAGGGCACCGCGGGAGCCCACGGGGCAAGGGGAUGUGGAGGGCACCACAUCCUGCCGGGAGCACCGUGGGAGCUGCUGGGCAUGGGGACACGGAGGGCAUCACAUCCUGCUGGGAGUGCUGGGAAGCCCAUGGGGCAUGGGGACGCAGAGGGCACCACGUCCCACUGGGAGUGCCAGGGAGCUGGAGGGAAUGGGGACACGGAGGGCACCGUGGGAGCCGCUGGGCACAGGGAUGCAGAGGGGACCACGGGAACCUGCUGGGCAACCCGCCGGGAGCACUGGGGAGCCACUGGGCAAGGGGACACGGAGGGCUCCAUGGGAUCCCAAUGGGCAUGGGGACAUGGCGGGCACCGCAUCCCGCCGGGAGCACGGGGGAGCCGCCGGGCACGGGAACGUGGAGCGCUCCAUGGGAUCCCACCGGGCACGGGGAUGCAGCGGGCACCGCGGGAGCCGCCGGGAGCGGCCCGUCCCUGACGUGCCGGGCUUGCCGCCCCGCGCAGCUACGCGGUGCCGCGGCUGUGCCAGCGGCACGCGGCGGGCGCCCUCCCGGAGCGCACGCUGCAGCACCGCCAGGUCUACGUGCUCACCAACGCCACGGCCUGGGUGGAGGCGCGCUGGGGCCGGCGCCUGCAGCGGAGCCGCAACCUCACGCUCUACCUCGACGAGGCCGUCAAACUGGACCCCCCCUCCGCCGGGAGCAGCUUCGGCAAGGCCGGGGGCCGCCUGCGGCUGCGGCUGCGGCGGCCGCCGUGCCACCGCGGGAAGUGGCCGCUGCAGAGGGAGGCGCGCUACCGCAAGGCGGGCGACCGCGCCUGGACACGGGUAAGGGCGGCGGGGCACCGGGGC